CCUACGGGUGGCUGCAGUGGGGAAUAUUGCACAAUGGAGGAAACCCUGAUGCAGCGACGCCGCGUGCGCGAUGACGUAUUUCGGUAUGUAAAGCUCUAUCUGCAGGGAAGAAAAUGCCGGUACCUGACUCAGUAGCCAAGGCUAACUACGUGCCAGCAGCCGCGGUAAUACGUAGGGGGCAAGCGUUAUCCGGAUUUACUGGGUGUAAAGGGAGCGUAGACGGCGGUGAAAGUCAGAGGUGAAAGCCCGGGGCUCAACCCCGGAACUGCAUUUGGAACUGUGCGGCUAGAGAGUCGGAGAGGCAGGCGGAAUGUCUAGUGUAGCGGUGAAAUGCGUAGAGAUUA
rnacentral:rRNA from 1 species